CCCUAGGUGGUGCAAAUGUUUAACGCGAUCGGCUGUUAACCAAAAGGUUGGAGGUUCAAAUCCUCCCAGAGGUG
rnacentral:tRNA from 1 species